UCCAGACUCCUACGGGAGGCAGCAGUGGGGAAUAUUGGGCAAUGGGCGCAAGCCUGACCCAGCAACGCCGCGUGAAGGAAGAAGGCUUUCGGGUUGUAAACUUCUUUUCUCAGGGACGAAGCAAGUGACGGUACCUGAGGAAUAAGCCACGGCUAACUACGUGCCAGCAGCCGCGGUAAUACGUAGGUGGCAAGCGUUAUCCGGAUUUACUGGGUGUAAAGGGCGUGUAGGCGGGAAAGCAAGUCAGAUGUGAAAACCAUGGGCUCAACCUGUGGCCUGCAUUUGAAACUGUUUUUCUUGAGUACUGGAGAGGCAGACGGAAUUCCUAGUGUAGCGGUGAAAUGCGUAGAUAUUAGGAGGAACACCAGUGGCGAAGGCGGCCUGCUGGACGAUGACUGACGUUGAGGCUCGAAAGCGUGGGGAGCAACCAGGAUUAGAUACCCCGGUAAA
rnacentral:rRNA from 1 species